rnacentral:tRNA from 1 species
ACGGGUCUAGCUCAGUUGGUAGAGCGCUGGUCUCCAAAACCAGGUGUCGGGAGUUCGAGUCUCUCGACCCGUG